UGAGAUUCUCGCCACAGAGUGUCUUUGUGCCGUCCUACUAACACGAUAAGUUACACAAGUUUGACUACAACAUCAACUUAAUUUUGUCUUUUUGUCAAUCACAAGCACUACUUGCUUCUCCUUCCACUUGUCAUUGGCAGAAUCGUCGACGUUUGCAUCGACAUGGAUUGCCAUAAAUAAAAAUAGAAUAGAAUAGAAU
rnacentral:lncRNA from 1 species